GGCAAGGUGGCCGAGUGGUUAAGGCGCUAGAUUUAGGCUCUAGUGGGAAACCUCGCGAGUUCGAAUCUCGUCCUUGUCA